rnacentral:rRNA from 1 species
UACGAAGGGUGCAAACGUUGCUCGGAAUUACUGGGCGUAAAGCGCGUGUAGGCGGACCACCAAGUCGGACGUGAAAGCCCUGAGCUCAACUCAGGAACUGCAUCCGAAACUGGCGGUCUGGAGUAGUGGAGAGGAAAGCAGAAUUCCUGGUGUAGAGGUGAAAUUCGUAGAUAUCGGGAGGAACACCAGUGGCGAAGGCGGCGAUCUGGGAAGAUACUGACGCUGAGGUGCGAAAGCGUGGGGAGCAAACAGGG